rnacentral:rRNA from 1 species
UGGGGAAUUUUGCACAAUGGGGGAAACCCUGAUGCAGCGACGCCGCGUGAUUUAGAAGGCCUUCGGGUUGUAAAAAUCUUUUCUAUGGGAAGAAAACGACAGUACCAUAGGAAUAAGGACCGGCUAAUUACGUGCCAGCAGCCGCGGUAAUACGUAAGGUCCGAGCGUUGUCCGGAAUCAUUGGGCGUAAAGGGUACGUAGGCGGGUAAGCAAGUUAGAAGUGAAAUCCUAUAGCUCAACUAUAGUAAGCUUUUAAAACUGCUCAUCUUGAGGUAUGGAAGGGAAAGUGGAAUUCCUAGUGUAGCGGUGAAAUGCGCAGAUAUUAGGAGGAAUACCGGUGGCGAAGGCGACUUUCUGGCCAUAACCUGACGCUGAGGUACGAAAGCGUGGGUAGCAAACAGG